rnacentral:rRNA from 1 species
UCCGGUGGCUAUGGCGGAGGGGCCACACCCGUUCCCAUCCCGAACACGGAAGUUAAGCCCUCCAGCGCCGAUGGUACUCGGGGUCUUGCCCCUGGGAGAGUAGGUCGCUGCCGGAU